GACACUUUGGCCGAGUGGUUAAGGCGCAAGCCUGCUAUUACAUAAUAGCCUUGAGAGCUUGUGGGUUCGCCCUCGUGAGUUCGAAUCUCACAGGUGUCG